CCAAUUAGCUCGCGUGAAAGGGGACAGUAGAAGGAGGCCAUCCGAUCAUCCGGCCCAGUAAAAGGCGCUGCCGUUGAGGUCGUCCGGUUCUUUUAAGUUGGGCGGUGGGUUCAGAGUAGAAUCAGAGAAGAGGACAGUAGGCACAGUGCGGCCACGUGUCUCUAGAAAAAACCUCGACCGGCUCUCUCUGCCCAAGUAAGUAGCGUUUGUGUCCCGUACCGCUGAGAGUCAAGUGGUGGUACCUCGGACGAGACGAAGAAGCCCCGCGACGACCGGCGCGACACCACGCGGCCCGCCCGGGACCGGCCGCGGACCGAACCGGGCGGCUCCCACCGGUCCCGGGACGCCAGGGUCCCACAGGCGCCGUGCAGAAUGGCGAAGGGGAGGCCGCUGUACUUCCUCAUGCACGCCGAGGAGCGCCGCCGCACGAGGGUCGGGUACGGCGAGAGGAGCGUGCGGCAGCGGCGGGCUCGCCACGGCAAGCUGGUGCGGUAGUAGUUCGUUGUGCCAUUAACUGAUUGGAAGGGAGAGUUAAAGUUAGUCCAGCAGCAUGCGGUAUUCCAGCAGCAUGCGGUAUAAGUAAUAACGUCCGUUUCAGCGAGACUGUACCAAGCCGGGCCUCGGCUCCCACCACCACUCGCUGGGAGUCGACAAGGCCCUCUAGGACAGCUUGUUCGUCCCGGUCAAGCCCUUCGUCUCCAGGUAGGAGGCCUAGCUCGCCGAGAACCGGUUGCCCGACUGGUGGGUGGUCCCGCUGUUCACCCAGCGGGUGGCCUCCUAGUAGUUGGUGCGGAAGGUAGAGCUGUUUGAGUUCUCCUACGAUGGACGAAAACGUCGGACAAGGUCGCUUGAACACGCUUCUACCCCUCUGAGGUACCCCGUUUCACUACACGUCCUCUAUCUACAGACCGGUCUCAAAGUUUUGGAGUGGCCGCUGCACUAUAGGGCUCACCGCAAGCCCUCGUCGAAGUCACUUCCCUCUUUCUAGAAGGUCAACGUCAGUCUCGUCCGCGUUUUACGACAGUUCUACCGUUUGAACUACAUGUAGGGGCCAAUGUCCAAGGACGGUUGUUUCGAGUCAUCUUCCUACUUCCGUUUACGGGCCCUCCAGCUUCAUGAGGACUUUCCGCACUAGUGCUUCUCCCUCUCCCGCUACCACCUACCGGUGCGGCUGUUGGUGCUAGAUGAUCCGCACUACUACCUCAGGUUGUAUCUUCUUUCGGUCCUUCGGCCUUCGAGGUUCGGCUGCUACUGGUGGCUGCUGUAUCAUCCCCUCGACUUCGAGAAGAUAAAGCGCCCGUACCUCUGUUGGCGCCACGACGAUUGUACCCGUUACCAGGACGAUUCGUACGUAGGGCUCACCGUCCUGGCGCGGUCCCUCCUCCAAGACGCGCAGAAACCCUUCUUGGUCGGCCUAAGACUCCCGUAUUCGGCCGACUUUCAGCACUGCUACUAUGAGGUACUCCAAGAAUCCGACAUGGGUGGCUAAGACGAUGAAUCAGCCCUCCGCAUAUUUCUCUGCUUCGACCCUCCGCAGUGUAUAGGUCGGCCGCAAUGUAAACGCGACGGUUAACACACGUAAGUGGUACUAGGUCUACACACCCCUCUUCUACAGCUGCUCAAAUUCGGCCUCUCCAAACGACUCCCGUAGUGGCCACGUAGGUUCUUGAGCGGCCGCAAGAAAGGCAAACCGACCCCUGGUGCCUAAACACAGCCCGUCUUGAAACGUAACGAACUCCGGUUCUAUCCUAACUCGCAGUAGGACGUCGUAAAUUACAAGCUCGAGAGUGGCAGGAUAUGCGUACGCGGUACGGGCCAGAGAUGAAACGUCGGGGUUGUACCACGCGUAUAAUUCGAGUACUUUGAAUUCUUAAUCGUUGGCAAUGGCUAAUCGGAGGCCCGAGACCUGUUGGUAUCUGUAACUCUCAUCAGUCCCUAAUCCCACCACUAGAACCUUCUCUGCAUCAUAUUACCUAGGACUACAAAUGUAGCUUCCGCUGUACGUGUGUAGAGUAUUUAUAUAUAAAAGUUAUCACAUUAUACAGUUACAGUUUGAGUGGUAACCAUAAGAUAUGAGAAGACUUACGACGUUC
rnacentral:rRNA from 1 species